rnacentral:rRNA from 1 species
UACGAAGGGGGCUAGCGUUGUUCGGAAUUACUGGGCGUAAAGCGCGCGUAGGCGGUUUUGCAAGCCAGAGGUGAAAUGCCUGAGCUCAACUUAGGAAUUGCCUUUGGGACUGCGAGGCUUUGAGGACGGGAGAGGUGAGUGGAAUUCCCAGUGUAGAGGUGAAAUUCGUAGAUAUUGGGAAGAACACCGGUGGCGAAGGCGGCUCACUGGCCCGUUUCUGACGCUGCAGCGCGAAAGCUAGGGGAGCAAACGGG